AUCCAGCUGACGAGUUCCAAAUAGGAGGAAACAUGCGUCCUGGAU
rfam:Schistosoma mattheei strain Denwood, Zambia genome assembly, scaffold: SMTD_scaffold0010574